CAGAAUAUGCUGAGAAAUACCAAGAGAUCCUGGACAGGCAGGACUAUUUUCAUGAUAUUUAUGGAGAAAAUGGAAAUGAAGUAUACGACUUUGAAGAUGAGAUGGAGCCAGAGAUAGAAGAAGCUUUUGAAAAUUUUUGUUUAGAAUCAGAGAGGAAACGACAGCAAUGACGUGAGAGUGAAAAUCUGUGAAACUCAACAGGCACAUACAGUAUUCUCCCACUCAAUUUGCUGGAAACUUGAAAAGCAAAAGAAAUUAGCAGAAGAUACUUUCAGACUUUUAUUUUACUGCAAACAAGCAUUUUAACAAAAAGAGCUGUUCAUAGUUGCACUUCUGACACUUUUUUCUGUCAGUGUUGAUUAGAAAAUGGGGACAAUCAAUGGGAUAAUUGUUCAAAAUGUUAAGGUAUAAAGACUCUUUUGGACAUGAUAGUUCUCUCUUUGUUGUUUUGAUUUCUUUCAGCAAUUUCUUUCUUUUACGCCUGAACUAAACGCCAAGAGGGAAAUGGUGUGCUGUGGGUUUUUUUAGAGUUAUUUUGUGAAAGACAUAAAUUUCAUCAAAUUGUGUGCAAAAUUUAUUAGAUUUUAAUUAAUACCCUGUGCAUAAGGUACAGGUCAAAAAACUCAAAUCAUCGUCACAACUGCAUUAUCUUCAUGUAAAAUGCACUGUAGAUGGGUGAGGUGGUAUGUUUUUACUACAUACCUACAUAAAGUGCAUAUACAGCCUUUAUCUCCACUGUCGUGACAUUGUGUCUCUUGUCAGGUUGCCAAUAUUACACACUUUAUUCAAGGCUAUUCAGGUGUUAAUCUGGCUGCAAUUCACUUAAGUGGUCAGGAACUCUGAAAGGCUGUGCAGUUUAGAAAAUGCAUUAUAUCAUUAUCAGAAACAAAUACUUAAAUUCAGUCACAAACUGGGACAUGAAUAUAGACAAAACAGCUUUUUAACAAUUUCUUUCUGGGGUUAAAGUCAAUAUUUUAAGAAAUUUUAAGUAAUUGAUUCACAAUCUUGAGAAUGCUGUGCAUCUAAAUCCAGUUUAUUUGCUGAAUGUAGCUUUAAAUAUCAACACAUCUUGCAGUUUGCAGUGGUCAGUGUGACAUAACUCAACUGCAAAAAUAAUUUAUUGUUAUCCCUGAAAGACUAAAAGACUGUUUACCAGCAAUCCAUUGAGCCCAUAAAAAAGGAAUGUUGUUCUAUAGGUUGUAAAUAUUAUUUAUAGUAAUGUUUGCCUGCAAUAAAUUCUUUAUAAUGUGA